rnacentral:rRNA from 1 species
AGAGUUUGAUCCUGGCUCAGAACGAACGCUGGCAGCGUGGAUUAGGCAUGCAAGUCGAACGGGAAGUCGUUGAUCAAUCCUUCGGGAGAGUGAUUCGGUGGAGAGUGGCGAAAGGGUGAGUAACACGUAGGUAACCUACCUCUAAGAUGGGGAUACCGUUCCGAAAGGAGCGCUAAUACCGAAUGUGGUCAUUUCCGGGCAUCCGGGAUUGAUCAAAGAUGGGGAUUCUUCGGAACCUGUCGCUUGGAGAGGGGCCUGCGUCCCAUCAGCUAGUUGGUGUGGUAACGGCGCACCAAGGCUUACGGGUAGGUGGUCUGAGAGGAUGGUCACCCACACUGGGACUGAGACACUGCCCAGACUCCUACGGGAGGCUGCAGUCGAGGAUCAUUCGCAAUGCGCGAAAGCGUGACGAUGCGACGCUGCGUGGAGGAUGAAGGCCUUCGGGUUGUAAACUCCUGUCAUUCGGGAAAAAUUGCUCAAGGUUAAUAACCUUGAGACGAGAUGGUACCGAAAGAGGAAGCCACGGCUAACUCUGUGCCAGCAGCCGCGGUAAUACAGAGGUGGCAAGCGUUGUUCGGAUUUACUGGGCGUAAAGCGUGCGUAGGCGGUUUCGUGUGUCGGAUGUGAAAGCCCAUGGCUCAACCAUGGAACUGCAUUCGAAACUACGAAACUAGAGUGCAGGAAGGGAGAGUGGAAUUCUUGGUGUAGCGGUGAAAUGCGUUGAUAUCAAGAGGAACACCGGUGGCGAAGGCGACUCUCUGGAAUGUAACUGACGCUGAGGCACGAAAGCGUGGGGAGCAAACAGGAUUAGAUACCCUGGUAGUCCACGCCGUAAACGGUGCGCACUUGGUGUUGGAGGUAUUGACCCCUCCAGUGCCGGAGCUAACGCGUUAAGUGCGCCGCCUGGGGAGUACGGCCGCAAGGCUAAAACUCAAAGAAAUUGACGGGGGCCCGCACAAGCGGAGGAGCAUGUGGCUUAAUUCGAUGCAACGCGAAGAACCUUACCAGGGCUUGACAUGGCGACCCUUCGGGGGUGAAUGUGAAAGCAUUCUUUACGAUCACAGGUGCUGCAUGGCUGUCGUCAGUUCGUGCCGUGAGGUGUUUGGUUAAGUCCAGCAACGAACGCAACCCUUGUGUUUAGUUGCCACCGAUGGCUUUAGUCGUCGAGCACUCUAAACAGACUGCCUGUGCAAGCAGGAGGAAGGUGGGGAUGACGUCAAGUCAGUAUGGCCCUUACGCCCUGGGCUGCACACGUGCUACAAUGGUCGGUACAGAAGGAUGCAAUACCGCGAGGUGGAGCAAAUCCCCAAAACCGGCCCCAGUUCGGAUUGGAGUCUGCAACUCGACUCCAUGAAGUUGGAUUCGCUAGUAACGGCGUAUCAGCUACGACGCCGUGAAUACGUUCCCGGGCCUUGUACACACCGCCCGUCACAUCAUGAAAGCCGUCUGCACCCGAAGUCGCCGAGCCAACCCGCAAGGGAGGCAAGUGCCGAAGGUGUGGGUGGUGAUUGGGAUGAAGUCGUAACAAGGUAACC